rnacentral:lncRNA from 1 species
AAACCCAUGGAUCAGAUCCAUGGCUAUGACUCUAAGUUUUGUAUCCGUUUGAAUGAAAGAGUGCAAGUGAAAGAAAUUGAAGAAGUCGAAGACGAAGGAGAAAGAAGAAAUGAGUUUGAAGAAAAAGAAUGUUAAGAGGGGGGAGGGGGGAGCGAUGGCAAAGAGUUAUUUAGCGGGUGCAAAACCUGGCGGCGGUGUGGUUCCCACCCACGAGGGCCACUCGGUUACUCUUCAAUCGUGACCACAACAUCAUCAACUGCCUUAUCCUCUUCACCUCCAUCUCCGCCUAAUCGUCUCCCUUCUGAAUUACCCAGAUCGAUGGAUCGUGUUUGUCAAUGAAAAACUUAUCGUUGAUUUCCUAAACUACAUGAAAUGAAGAAACAGCCCCAUCAACGUUGUCUCACCAUCGACCCGGCCAGAAGGAAGGCGGAAGGAAGGUUUCAGCUUCUUUUUUUUUCCGGGCAGGAGGGGUGUGGAUGUGAAUGGAGAGAGAGGAUUUUAUGGGGGAAGUGUAGGGAAGA